GGUGAAACAGAUGACACCCUUGAAAAUCUGACACUUGACCUAAUUGCUGCCCAUCAGAAAAAGGACUCUGUCAGGAGCAUAAACGAUAUGAUGGCCAGAACAUACAGCUGGAGAAGACAGGAAGUGGUUGCUAAGUCUCCUGGUGUGGCAGAAUUUAAGGAAAGAUGGCCUGCCCUCUUCGAACCAUUUCAGGUAAACGAGGAGUUCCAAAGAUGUACUGCAGUUCCCCUGGAAGCAACGUUUAUGUCACAGCUGGACAGGCACACCCCAAAGUUCCUGGAGCUCUUUGGUGCCAAGGGAGGAGCAACUGGUCAACGCAUCAAAAACAUCUUGAUGGAACUGAUACAGGUGGGGAAAAAUACCUUACAAAGAUAAAAGGUACACUAUUAAUCAAUUGAGUAGUUUGUUUAACUAAAGCCUUGCAGCGCCGGGAGACUGAGGCAGAAGAAUGGGGUGUGCUAGCUAAAUUACCAUUAGAUUAGUGGUCGAUCUAUACAGUUAACGUUACUGAUGAAUUUGUGGGUUAGCUCAGAGUUGAACGAUGUUGUAAUCUUAUGUUACCCACCAAGAAUUGGCUAAAGUUAUAGACCAAGCAUUAGCUACUGUCAACCAGCACCUUUUAUAGUAGGCUAAC